rnacentral:misc_RNA from 1 species
UGAUCACCGCCAAAAUUAGCUUACACAAUUUGCAACCACUUACAUGCCAUUCGGCAUUGCUCACGUGGUACUCGGAUUGUCUUGAAUGACAUUCGGCACCACUUACGUGAUAUUCGAAUUGGCUUUAAUGGCAUUAGGAUUUGCAUUUAUGACAUUCAGCACUGCUUACGUUACAUUUGAAUUGGCUUUAAUGACAUUAGGAUUUGCCUUAAUGACAUUCGGCACCGCGUAGCUAACAUUGGGAUUGGCCCAGAUUGGCCUUUUAAAUGACAUUCGGCGUGAAAGGCAUGCGCCACAGGAGCACGCAGUCAACAGGGGCAGCGAAUUAUUUCAACAAGAGCGUUACGAACACACGGGAUUAAUUGAACAGCGGGUAAUCACAGAAAACUUCUUAAGGACGUAAUAUUAGCUGCAAUAUUCAGUUAAUAAAGUUUCCAAAAUUGUUUUUAUACUGUUUCACGCUAUUUUUUCUUCAAAUUCUGUUGUGUUAAUUACGAAAUCCUGUCGAAAAACCCUUGGAUGUCUUCUAAAUCAUCUAAGUAAUAAAUGGAUGUUGUACAACCUAGAAGCAUCAUUAUUAAUCAUUUGAUUCACUCAAUACGAAAAAUUGAAGCAGUUUUGGAGAACGAUGCAGAACAACCACCAGACUAUGACUUCCUAGCUUUUAGAGUUGAUCAUCUAAAUCAUGUUUUGGUUUACUGUUCAACGGUUAUUGAUGUACCACCAACGGUCAACGAAUUGCUAAGCAAAUGCCUUAGCAUAAUAGAGUCAUUUGAUACUGGGAUAAAUGACAAUUACUUUGCUCCAACAGUGAAAACUGGACUGCCUGGACGACCAGCAUACAAAAUUACAAAAGAGCAGCUGUUGUUCUUGGUUUCUUCUGGGUUUAACGUUCCACAAAUUUCCGCAAUGUUAAAUGUCGGAAAAAGAACUAUUGAGAGGAGACUUCAUGAGUUUGGUAUCUCUAUAAAUACCACUUUCUCAUCGAUUAAUAACGACGACUUAGAUGCUGUUGUCCGAGAUAUUGUCAAAGAAUUUCCAAAUGUGGGUUACAGAAGGCUGACAGGAUUUUUGCGAGUAAAAGGCAUCAGUGUUCAGCAGCAGCGUGUCAGAGAAGCUUUAAGAAGAGUGGAUCCAGACGGUGUUCUCUUGAGAGCAGUUGAAUUGAAUGUCAUCAGAAGGCAGCCGUAUCAUGUAUCAUCUCCUUUAUCACUUUGGCACAUUGAUGGAUAUCACAAACUCAUCAGGUAAAAAUGGCCUUUUACACAGCAGGGAAUUGCAAUACCUGCAGUAUGUGAAGGGAAAAGGUUGGUGUAAGUGUAUUUCUCUGGUAUUACUCGUUGUAUUUAUCCAACUUUGCAUGGAUAUGUUUGUUUCUUUUGAGAUGGAGAAUGGUGAUUCACGGGGGGAUCGACGGUUAUAGCAGAAAAAUUGUUUUCUUAGAAUGCAAUACAAACAACUACGCGACUACAGUCCUGAAUGCCUUUCUUUCUGCCGUUGAUCAGCAUGGACUUCCGUCUCGUGUCCGUUCGGAUAAAGGCGGAGAAAAUGUGGAUGUUGCCCAUUACAUGUUGCAUCACCCUGAACGAGGAUCCGGGCGGGGAAGCAUGAUUACAGGCAAGAGUGUGCACAACCAAAGAAUAGAGCGUUUGUGGAGAGAUCUAUUUUGCGGUUGUGUCCAUAUGUAUUAUCAUCUAUUCUACAGCCUUGAAAGUAGUGGGUUGUUAAAUCCUGACAGCGAGUUAGACCUUUUUUGCUUACACUAUGUUUAUUUACCAAGAAUAUCACAUUCCCUUCGCAACUUUGUGAAUGGAUGGAAUGCCCAUCCAAUGAGUACAGAAAAUAACCUUAGUCCAAACCAACUCUGGAUCAGAGGCCUACUAGAAAUUGCAAACAGUGACAAUCGAAUUGCCCAAGAUAUUUGGCGGUCAGGGGAAGUAGAUGAUUUAUAUGGAGUUGACUGGGAUGGUCCUAUCUCAACAGAGCCUGAUACCUGCGCCGUUGAGGUCCCCCGAACAGAAAAUCCACUUCAAGCACAUGAAUUUACAAACA